UACGUAGGGUGCGAGCGUUGUCCGGAAUUACUGGGCGUAAAGAGCUUGUAGGUGGUUUGUCGCGUUGUUCGUGAAAACUCACAGCUCAACUGUGGGCGUGCGGGCGAUACGGGCAGACUAGAGUACUGCAGGGGAGACUGGAAUUCCUGGUGUAGCGGUGGAAUGCGCAGAUAUCGGGAGGAACACCAGUGGCGAAGGCGGCGACCUGGGCCAAUACUGACGCUGAGGUGCGAAAGCGUGGGGAGCAAACAGG
rnacentral:rRNA from 1 species